rnacentral:rRNA from 1 species
GAGUUUGAUCCUGGCUCAKAACGAACGCUGGCGGCGUGCCUAACACAUGCAAGUCGAACGUGAUCCASAGCUUGCUCUGGUGAAAGUGGCGCACGGGUGAGUAACGCGUGGAUAACCUACCCUGGUAUCCGGGAUAACAUUCCGAAAGGGGUGCUAAUACCGGAUAAGCCCACGGGCUCUUUGGAGCUUGCGGGAAAAGGUGGCCUCUAUUUAUAAGCUAMUGUAUCAGGAUGGGUCCSCGUACCAUUAGCUAGUUGGCGGUGUAACGGACCRCCAAGGCGACSAUGGUUAGCUGGUCUGAGAGGAUGAUCAGCCACACUGGAACUGAGACACGGUCCAGACUCCUACGGGAGGCAGCAGUGGGGAAUUUUGCGCAAUGGGGGAAACCCUGACGCAGCAACGCCGCGUGAGUGAUGAAGGCCUUUGGGUCGUAAAGCUCUGUCAGAGGGGAAGAAAUGAUAUAGUGCUAAUACCACUUUAUCUUGACGGUACCCUCAAAGGAAGCACCGGCUAACUCCGUGCCAGCAGCCGCGGUAAUAC